UUUUUGCCCAGGCUGGAGUGCAAUGGUGCGAUCUCGGCUCACCGCAACCUCCACCUCCCAGGUUCAAGCGAUUCUCCUGCCUUAGCCUCCCAAGUAGCUGAGACUACAGGCAUGCACCACCACGCCUGGCUAAUUUUGCAUUUUUAGUAGAGACAGGGUUUCUCCAUGUUGGUCAGGCUGGUCUCGAACUCCCGACUUCUUGUGAUCGGUCCGCUUCAGCCUCCCAGAGUGCUGGGAUUACUGGCGUGAGUCACCGCGCCCGGCCUGAAAUGGAAAUUUUAAUAAGCCUUGAAAGUUGACAUUACUCCUUGAUCCGUGGACUGCAGAAUGGAUGCUAUGUUAGGCAUGACAACAACAUUUGCACAUCUCUGCCAGAGCUCUUGGGUGAUCAGGUGCAUUGUCAACGAGCAAUAAUAUUUUGAAAGGAAUCUUUUUGUUUUGAGUGAUAGGUCUCAACAGUGGGCUUAAAAUAUUCAGGAAACCAUGCUGGAAACAUCUGUGCUGUUAGCCAGGCUUUGUUCCAUUUCUAGAGCACAGGCAGAGUCGAUUUGGCAGGAUUCUUAAGGGCCCUGGGAUUUUCAAAAUGAUAAAUGAACACUGUCUUCAACUCUAUGUCAUCAGCUGCAUUAGCCCCUAACAAGAGACUCAGCCUGUCCUUUGAAGCUUUGAAGCCAAGCGUUAACUUUUCUUCUUAGCUAUGAAAAUCCUGGAUGGCAUCUUCUUCCAAUAGAAAGCUGUUUCAUCUACACUGAAAGUCUGUUGUUGAGUGUAGCUGCUUUCAUCAGUGAUCUUAGCUAGAUCUGGAUAACUUGCUGCAGCUUCUACAUCAGCACCUGCUGCUUCAUCUUGCACUUUUUUUUUGUUCUGGAGAUGUCUUCUUUCCUUAAACCUUAUUAACCCACCUCUGUUAGCUUCCAACUUUUCUUCUGCAGCUUCUUCACCUCUCUCAGCCUUCACAGAACUGAAAGAGUUAGAGCCUGGCUCUGGAUUAGGCUUUGGCUUAAGGGAAUGUUGUGGCUGAUUUGAUCUUCUAUCCAGACCACUCAAACUUUCUCCACCUCAGCAAUGAGAUACAACAUUGAUUUGCUGUUUCACUUUCUUAUCAUCGGUGGGUUCACUAGAGUAGCACUUUUAAUUUCCUUCAAGACCUUUCCCUUGAGGUUCUCCAAGCUGGAUUCACAACUUGGCUGGUGCAGGAGGCCUAACUUUCAGCCUAUCUUGGCUUUCAACCUGCCUUCCUCACUGAGUUUAAUCAUUCCUAGCUUUUGAUUUAAACUGAGAGAUAUGUCUUUCUUUCACUUGAAUACUUAGAGGGUUAUUAAUUGGCCUAAUCUUAAUAAUGUGUCUAAAGGAAUAGGAAGGCCCAAGGAGAGGGAGAGAGAUGUGAGGAUGGCCAGUUGGAGCAGUCAGAACACACAAAACUUUGAUCAUUUAAGUUUACCGUCUUAUAUGGGCAUGGUUUGUGGCACCCCAAAUCAAUUACAAUAACAUCAAAUGUCACCGAUCACAGAUCAUCAUAACAGAUAUAAUAAUAGUGAGGCUGGGUGCGGUGUUCAUGCCUGUAAUCCCAGCACUUUGGGAGGCUGAGGUGGGUGAAUCACUUGAGGUCAAGAGUUCGAGACCAGCCUGGCCAACAUGAUUAAAUCCUGUCUCUACUAAAAAUACAAAAACUAGCCGGGUGUGGAGGCAUGCACCUGUAAUCCCAGCUACUCGGGAGACUGAGGCAGGAGAUUCGCUUGAACCCAGGAAGCAGAGGUUGCAGUGAGCCAAGAUCAUUCCAUUGCACUCCAGCCUGAGUGACAGAGUGAAACUCUGUCUUAAAAACAUAAAUAAAUAAAUAAAAUAAUAAUAAUAAUAGGGAAAAGUUUUAAAUAUUGCAAGAGUUACCAAAAUGUGAUACAGAGACACAAAGUGAGCACAUGCUGUUGGAAAAAUGGUGCCAAUAGACUUGCUCAACGUGGGGUUGUCUCAAACCUUCAAUUUGUAAAAAACACAUUAUUUGUGAAGCACAAUUAAGUGAAACGUAAUAAAGCAAGGUGUGCUAGUCUAUGCGAAAAGAGAUUCAGCCUCAGUAGGAGUCAGGGCCCAGAGCCCAACACAUAGUAGUUCUCAGUCCUUCUUACUUGUUUAGUGGAAAUACCAUUUAAAAAAACAAUGAGGCCGGGUGCGAUAGCUCAUGCCUGUAAUGCCAGCACUUUGGGAGGCCGAGGCAGGUGGAUCACCUGAGGUCAGGAGUUCGAGACCAGCCUGGUUAACACAGUGAAACCCCUUCUCUACUAAAAAUACAAAAAUUAGCCCGGCAUGGUGGCAGGCGCCUGUAAUCUCAGCUACUCGGGAGGCUGAGGCAGGAGAAUCCCUUGAGCCUGGGAGACGGAGGUUGUGGUGAACAGGGAUCAUGCUGCUGUAUUCCAGCCUGGGUGAGAGAGUGAGACCCUGUCUCACACACACACACAAAAUAAAUAAAUAAAAAUAAAAAUAAAACAACAAGUUGUGCAUUUUUAAAAAUUAAUAGACAAUUUUUUAGAGUUGUUUUAUACUUAUGGAAAAAAGUUGAGCAGAUGGUACAGAGAGUUCCCAUCGGUACCUCCCAACUCUGUUUCCCCAUUAUCAACAACUUACCUUAGUAUGAUACAUGUUACAAUCAGUGAAUCAAUGUUUAUAUUUGCUUAUUAACUCAAGUCCAUAGUUUAUUAAAAUGCCUUAGUUUUUGCCUAGUGUCCUUUUUUCUUUUGCAGGAUCCGUCAUUGCCAAAUGCCUCAUGACUUCUAGUUAUGAUUUUCCCUGAGGCUUCUCUCAGCUGUGGCCAUUUCUCAGACCUUCUUUGUUUCUGAUGACCUUGACAGUUUGAGGAGUACUGGUCAAGGAUAUUGUAGGGUACUGCUCUGCUGGAGUUUGUCUGAUGUUUUUCUCAUAGUUGGGGCUGUGGGUUUUUGGGAGGAAGACCACAGAAGUAAAGUGCCAUUUCACUCAUCAUAUCAAGGAGCCAAAAAACUGUUGGUAUUGACCUUGAUCCCCUGGCUGGUGUCAUCUUGGUCAGUGUCUCCACUGCAGAGUUAAUCUCCAUACAGUGCUAUUUAGAAGGAAGUCCUGAUGUGCACCCCAUAGUGGGGAGUAAUGUUCCCCCUCUUUUAAGGUGAGGUCGCGACAUAAUUUAUUUGGAAUCCUGCAUGAGAUAUUUGUCUCUUCUCUCCCACUUAUUAAUUGUUUUUUUGAGAUGGAGUCUCGGUCUGUCACCCAGGCUAGAGUGCAGUGGCAUGAUCUCGGCUCACCGCAACCUCCGCCUGCCCGAUUCAAGUGAUUCUCCUGCCUCAUCCUCCUGAGUAGCUGGGAUUGCAGGAGUCUGCCACCACGCCCAGCUAAUUUUUGUAUUUUUGGUAGAGAUGGGGUUUUGCCAUGUUGACCAGACUGGCCUUGAAUUCC
rnacentral:lncRNA from 10 species